rnacentral:misc_RNA from 1 species
GAUGAAGAACGCAGCGAAAUGCGAUACGUAAUGUGAAUUGCAGAAUUCAGUGAAUCAUCGAAUCUUUGAACGCAUAUUGCGCUCUCUGGUAUUCCGGAGAGCAUGCUUGUUUGAGUAUCAGUAAACACCUCAACUCCCUUUUCUUUUUUGAAAUUGGAGCUGGACUUGAGUGAUCCCAACGCUUUCUUCCAAGAAAGUGGCGGGUUGCUUGAAACGCAGGUGCAGCUGAACUUUUCUCUGAGCUAUAAGCAUAUCUAUUUAGUCUGCCUAAAAAACAGAUUAUUACCUUUGCUGCAGCUAACAUAAAGGAGACUAGUUCUUGUGCUGACUGAUGCAGGAUUCACAGAGACAGCUUCGGCUGACUUUGUAAACUCGAUCUCAAAUCAAGUAAGACUACCCGCUGAACUUAAGCAUAUCAAUAAGCGGAGGA